CAUUUGGAUUUCUUAAAAUCCACAAAGUUUAUAUUAAAGCAUCAU
rfam:Chlorocebus sabaeus isolate 1994-021 chromosome 15, whole genome shotgun sequence.